AUAUUUACCUGGCAGGGGAGACACCAUGAUCAGGAAUGUGGUUUUUUUCAGACUGAGGCUUACCCAUUGCACUCCAGAUGUGUUGACGCCUGUGAUUAACCCAAAUGUGGGAAACUCAACUGCAUGAUGUUUUUAAAAAGAUUUUAUUUAUUUAUUUUUA